CGGGCGUUAAGUUGCAGGGUAUAGACCCGAAACCCGGUGAUCUAGCCAUGGGCAGGUUGAAGGUUGGGUAACACUAACUGGAGGACCGAACCGACUAAUGUUGAAAAAUUAGCGGAUGACCUGUGGCUGGGGGUGAAAGGCCAAUCAAACCGGGAGAUAGCUGGUUCUCCCCGAAAGCUAUUUAGGUAGCGCCUCGUGAAUUCAUCUCCGGGGGUAGAGCACUGUUUCGGCUAGGGGGCCAUCCCGGCUUACCAACCCGAUGCAAACUGCGAAUACCGGAGAAUGUUAUCACGGGAGACACACGGCGGGUGCUAACGUCCGUCGUGAAGAGGGAAACAACCCAGACCGCCAGCUAAGGUCCCAAAGUCAUGGUUAAGUGGGAAACGAUGUGGGAAGGCCCAGACAGCCAGGAUGUUGGCUUAGAAGCAGCCAUCAUUUAAAGAAAGCGUAAUAGCUCACUGGUCGAGUCGGCCUGCGCGGAAGAUGUAACGGGGCUAAACCAUGCACCGAAGCUGCGGCAGCGACACUGUGUGUUGUUGGGUAGGGGAGCGUUCUGUAAGCCUGUGAAGG
rnacentral:rRNA from 1 species